GAGCUGGAAAAUUCAGAAAUAGAGUUGCAUAAGUCUACUAUUUGAGGAAGGUUUUUAAGGGAUAAAAAUACAGAGAAAUUGAAGGUGGCUGGUCGCUUUUUUAUAAUAAAUCACUGUUUCAUUGGUUGCCUCUUUGAUUUCUCAAAAUUUCAAGUUGCUGAAGCAAUCUUUGGGUUCAUUGGGUGAGGGAAAGGGCUUAAGUUUGGUUUCAAGUCAAAUUUCUGGGAUCUAUCUACUAUUCUGUUGGUUUUAAUGGAGCUGAUCACUGUUUGAUUGACCAUAAAUCAGGGCCGUUUGCUGCUUAUCUUCUCAUUUCUCUCUCAUUUGGCUUUCCAGGGAUGUGUCAGUCUCUGAACAACAUAUAAAAGGCUAGGUUGCAAGUUCUGUAAUCAUAUUUAAGGAUGAAUGAUAACUAUUGCC
rnacentral:lncRNA from 1 species